CGCCUCUUGGGUUAGCCACAUAAGAGGUCCUGCCUGCCCAGUGACUAUAAGUUUAACGGCCGCGGUAUUUUGACCGUGCAAAGGUAGCGCAAUCACUUGUCUUUUAAAUGAAGACCUGUAUGAACGGCAAAACGAGGGCAUAACUGUCUCCCUUUUUUAACCAAUGAAAUUGAUCUCCCCGUGCAGAAGCGGGGGUCCUCCCAUAAGACGAGAAGACCCUGUGGAGCUUAAGACAAAAGUCAGGCCACAACCAUUUUUUCUAGUUAAAACAAAAAACUUCAACACGCACUGCCCUCUUGUCUUCGGUUGGGGCGACCACGGAGAAUAAAAAAACCUCCACGCGGAACGGGACCACCUCACCUAAAACUAUGAGUCACAACUCUAAGUAACAAAAACUUUGACCAAUUAAGAUCCGGCAAAGCCGAUCAACGAACCAAGUUACCCCAGGGAUAACAGCGCAAUCCUCUUUUAGAGCCCAUAUCGACAAGAGGGUUUACGACCUCGAUGUUGGAUCAGGACAUCCUAAUGGUGCAGCCGCUAUUAAGGGUUCGUUUGUUCAACGAUUAACAGUCCU
rnacentral:rRNA from 1 species